GGCGACGAUCCCUAGCUGGUCUGAGAGGAUGACCAGCCACACUGGAACUGAGACACGGUCCAGACUCCUACGGGAGGCAGCAGUGGGGAAUAUUGCACAAUGGGCGCAAGCCUGAUGCAGCCAUGCCGCGUGUAUGAAGAAGGCCUUCGGGUUGUAAAGUACUUUCAGCGGGGAGGAAGGGAGUAAAGUUAAUACCUUUGCUCAUUGACGUUACCCGCAGAAGAAGCACCGGCUAACUCCGUGCCAGCAGCCGCGGUAAUACGGAGGGUGCAAGCGUUAAUCGGAAUUACUGGGCGUAAAGCGCACGCAGGCGGUUUGUUAAGUCAGAUGUGAAAUCCCCGGGCUCAACCUGGGAACUGCAUCUGAUACUGGCAAG
rnacentral:rRNA from 1 species